CUUCAAGGGCUGUGCAAACUCCUCCCUGUGUCCAUCUACAGGCCUUCAAACCCUUUCAACCAGUUUGGGUCCAACAACUACAGUUAUAUCUGCUAACUGCUGCGACACAGAAAACUGCAACUCGGCCACUCAAGCUGCACCAACUCUUCCAGAUCCAAACGGCCGACUGUGUAACUUCUGUCUUCCUGAUACCACGGACUGCAAUGUUAUCGUCCAGUGUCGAGGAAACCAGGACAGAUGCAUCCAGGGAAAUGUGACAACAGACUCUGGCACGUCUCCACUUAGCGGCUGCUCAUCUGAAAAUGUGUGUAGUGCUGCUCAGAGCUCGGGGAUGCUGCCACUGAGGCCAGAGGUUGGCGAUUUCAGCAGAGGACCCCUAUGCUGUGAAGGAAAC